rnacentral:rRNA from 1 species
UACGUAGGGCGCAAGCGUUGUCCGGAAUUAUUGGGCGUAAAGAGCUCGUAGGCGGCUUGUCACGUCGGAUGUGAAAGCCCGGGGCUUAGCUCCGGGUCUGCAUUCGAUACGGGCAGGCUAGAGUUCGGUAGGGGAGAUCGGAAUUCCUGGUGUAGCGGUGAAAUGCGCAGAUAUCAGGAGGAACACCGGUGGCGAAGGCGGAUCUCUGGGCCGAUACUGACGCUGAGGAGCGAAAGCGUGGGGAGCGAACAGG